rnacentral:rRNA from 1 species
UAAGGAAUAUUGGACAAUGGACGCAAGUCUGAUCCAGCCAUGCCGCGUGAAGGAUUAAGGUCCUCUGGAUUGUAAACUUCUUUUAUAAGGGACGAAAAAAGGCUUUUCUAAGUCGUCUGACGGUACCUUAUGAAUAAGCACCGGCUAACUCCGUGCCAGCAGCCGCGGUAAUACGGAGGGUGCAAGCGUUAUCCGGAUUCACUGGGUUUAAAGGGUGCGUAGGCGGGCAGGUAAGUCAGUGGUGAAAUCCUAGAGCUUAACUCUAGAACUGCCAUUGAUACUAUCUGUCUUGAAUAUUGUGGAGGUAAGCGGAAUAUGUCAUGUAGCGGUGAAAUGCUUAGAUAUGACAUAGAACACCUAUUGCGAAGGCAGCUUACUACGCAUAUAUUGACGCUGAGGCACGAAAGCGUGGGGAUCAAACAGG